AAUUGAGAAUGCUCUCUAAUUGAAGUUUCAAACAAGCACCACUUUCGCUUCCCAAAUCAAAAAAGAAAGACAACUUUAAAACAGAUGGAAGGACAACUUGGGAAUCAAAACAGAUGGGAAAAGUGGCACUCAAUGCAAGGUACUAAAUACUACUGAUCGGAAAAUGCGAAUGUAAACUUUUAUUUGCUCCCCUUUUUCAGCUGUUAUUUGGAAGAGUUAACACGCAAACUAAACUAAAAUUAAAUAAAAUAAAAUAAAAUAAUCAUGCCAAUAAUCAACAGAUUUGGGUAAAAAAAAUCUUUCUUCUUCUUUGUUUAAUUUGAUACCUUAAAAAAGUUAUAUAAAAAAGCUAACCUAACCCUUUGAGGUUUUGCCCGGCAAACAGCAGCUCCGAACUUCCUCUUUCUCAUUGGAUAUGCAUAUAAAUAUUUAUAGAUUUAUAUGUGAUAUAUUAUUAAUGUAUAUAUUUUAUAUAUUAUCAAUUAAUUAAAUAAUAUCAUUUCAUUAAUAAAAUUAAUAUGAAAAUAUCAUUUUAUUAAUGAAUAAAAUUUUUUAAAAAUUAUUAAUUUUUGUAUAUUUAUUUUAAAAAUUGAUAUUUACUAAUUAAUAAAAUAAUAUCAUCUAAUUUAUUAAUUGUAUAAAAAAUUUAUAUACUAACAAUAUAUCAUAUACAAAUUCUAUAUUUAUUCUCUUUUAGCUAUAUAUAUACUAUCAUUAUCCCCAAACAUAUUAAUGAGCACAUCAAUAAAGUUAGAUUUGUUAAGAUUAUAUUAAUUAUUUAUUCAUUUCUGGUUAGAUUCGUUAAGAUUAUAUUAAUUAUUUAUUCAUUUCUUGUGCAUCUUUCUUCACCAUCUUAGCUAAUUGUACUUAUGGUCCCCUUCCUCUUUGAAUAUUUGGUUAAUGUCAACAUUUGUUAAUGGAAAAACAAGACCUAUACCUAAACAAAUUCGCUGAUGCUUGUAUUUUGUUAAUGAAGGAAAUUCGCUAUCUAUCAUUUUCGAACUUUAUACAUUUAUAUGUAUCGUGUUUUUUUCUUUUAAAAAUUUAAGUGCUUGCAUGAUAGUUUCUUUUUCUUUUCUUUAGUAUAUACAAGCUCAGGGUACCCAUGCGGUGCCGCAAUAUAAAACAUUUGUGUUAUUUUUUAAUACCGGAUAAGAUUAAUAAAAAAUAUUUUUUAUUAUUGAAAUUUAAAAAUUAAUUAAU
rnacentral:lncRNA from 1 species